rnacentral:rRNA from 2 species
AAAUUGAAGAGUUUGAUCAUGGCUCAGAUUGAACGCUGGCGGCAGGCCUAACACAUGCAAGUCGAACGGUAACAGGAAGCAGCUUGCUGCUUCGCUGACGAGUGGCGGACGGGUGAGUAAUGUCUGGGAAACUGCCUGAUGGAGGGGGAUAACUACUGGAAACGGUGGCUAAUACCGCAUAACGUCGCAAGACCAAAGAGGGGGACCUUCGGGCCUCUUGCCAUCAGAUGUGCCCAGAUGGGAUUAGCUUGUUGGUGAGGUAACGGCUCACCAAGGCGACGAUCCCUAGCUGGUCUGAGAGGAUGACCAGCCACACUGGAACUGAGACACGGCCCAGACUCCUACGGGAGGCAGCAGUGGGGAAUAUUGCACAAUGGGCGCAAGCCUGAUGCAGCCAUGCCGCGUGUAUGAAGAAGGCCUUCGGGUUGUAAAGUACUUUCAGCGGGGAGGAAGGUGUUGUGGUUAAUAACCGCAGCAAUUGACGUUACCCGCAG